CGGGCGGCAGCAGUGAGGAAUAUUGGUCAAUGGGCGCAGGCCUGAACCAGCCAUGCCGCGUGGAGGAAGAAGGCCUUAAGGGUCGUAAACUUCUUUUGUUUGGGACGAACGUGGCCCAUGCGUGGGUCAGUGACGGUACCAGAUGAAUAAGCAUCGGCUAACUCCGUGCCAGCAGCCGCGGUAAUACGGAGGAUGCGAGCGUUAUCCGGAUUCACUAGGUUUAAAGGGUGCGUAGGCGGGCAAAUAAGUCAGGGGUUAAAGGCAGUGGCUCAACCAUAUGCAUGCCCUUGAUACUGUAUGUCUUGAGUAUUGUCGAGGGUGGCGGAAUGUGCAGUGUAGCGGUGAAAUGCUUAGAUAUUGCACAGAACACCGAUAGCGAAGGCAGCUGCCCAGCCAAUAACUGACGCUGAUGCACGAAAGCGUGGGGAUCGAACAGGAUUAGAUACCCGAGU
rnacentral:rRNA from 1 species